AAAAAAAAGUUGGCACCGGGAGCGCGCUCGGAGGCGAGUGGAACUGGAUCGGGUUUGCUGCCAGCGGCGUGAGCUUCGGCCGCCAUUUUACAACAGCUCCACUCGCGCCGGACACAGGGAGCAGCGAGCACGCGUUUCCCGCAACCCGAUACCAUCGGACAGGAUUCCUCCGCCUCAGCCCAACGGGGAGAUCUCUGGAAACAUGGCUACAGAACAUGUUAAUGGAAAUGGUACUGAAGAGCCCAUGGAUACUACUUCUGCAGUUAUCCAUUCAGAAAAUUUUCAGACAUUGCUUGAUGCUGGUUUACCACAGAAAGUUGCUGAAAAACUAGAUGAAAUUUACGUUGCAGGGCUAGUUGCACAUAGUGAUUUAGAUGAAAGAGCUAUUGAAGCUUUAAAAGAAUUCAAUGAAGACGGUGCAUUGGCAGUUCUUCAACAGUUUAAAGACAGUGAUCUCUCUCAUGUUCAGAACAAAAGUGCCUUUUUAUGUGGAGUCAUGAAGACUUAUAGGCAGAGAGAAAAACAAGGGACCAAAGUAGCAGACUCUAGUAAAGGACCAGAUGAGGCAAAAAUUAAGGCACUCUUGGAAAGAACAGGCUACAUACUUGAUGUGACCACUGGACAGAGGAAGUAUGGGGGACCACCUCCAGAUUCCGUUUAUUCAGGUCAGCAGCCUUCUGUUGGCACUGAGAUAUUUGUGGGAAAGAUCCCAAGAGAUCUGAGGAUGAACUUGUUCCUUUAUUUGAGAAAGCUGGACUUAUAUGGGAUCUUCGCCUAAUGAUGGAUCCACUCACUGGUCUCAAUAGAGGUUAUGCGUUUGUCACUUUCUGUACAAAAGAAGCAGCUCAGGAGGCUGUUAAACUGUAUAAUAAUCAUGAAACUCGUUCUGGAAAACACAUUGGUGUCUGCAUCUCGGUUGCCAACAAUAGGCCUUUUGUGGGCUCUAUUCCUAAGAGUAAAACCAAGGAACAGAUUCUUGAAGAAUUUAGCAAAGUAACAGAGGGUCUUACAGACGUCAUUUUAUACCACCAACCGGAUGACAAGAAAAAAAAACAGAGGCUUUUGCUUUCUUGAAUAUGAAGAUCACAAAACAGCUGCCCAGGCAAGGCGUAGGUUAAUGAGUGGUAAAGUCAAGGUCUGGGGGAAUGUUGGAACUGUUGAAUGGGCUGAUCCUAUAGAAGAUCCUGAUCCUGAGGUUAUGGCAAAGGUAAAAGUGCUGUUUGUACGCAACCUUGCCAAUACUGUAACAGAAGAGAUUUUAGAAAAGGCAUUUAGUCAGUUUGGGAAACUGGAACGAGUGAAGAAGUUAAAAGAUUAUGCAUUCAUUCAUUUUGAUGAACGAGAUGGUGCUGUCAAGGCUAUGGAAGAAAUGAAUGGCAAAGACUUGGAGGGAGAAAAUAUUGAAAUUGUUUUUGCCAAGCCACCAGAUCAGAAAAGGAAAGAAAGAAAAGCUCAGAGGCAAGCAGCAAAAAAUCAAAUGUAUGACGAUUACUACUAUUAUGGUCCACCUCAUAUGCCCCCUCCAACAAGAGGUCGAGGGCGUGGAGGUAGAGGUGGUUAUGGAUAUCCUCCAGAUUAUUAUGGAUAUGAAGAUUAUGAUGAUUAUUAUGGCUAUGAUUACCAUAACUAUCGUGGUGGAUAUGAAGAUCCAUACUAUGGUUAUGAAGAUUUUCAAGUUGGAGCUAGAGGAAGGGGUGGUAGAGGAGCAAGGGGUGCUGCUCCAUCCAGAGGUCGUGGGGCUGCUCCUCCCCGCGGUAGAGCCGGUUAUUCAGAGAGGAGGUCCUGGAUCAGCAAGAGGCGUUCGAGGUGCGAGAGGAGGUGCCCAACAACAAAGAGGCCGCGGGCAGGGAAAAGGGGUCGAGGCCGGUCCUGACCUGUUACAAUGAAGACUGACUUGCUAUGUGGGAUUACGCCAGAAGCUUGCAGUGGAGUAAUGGUAAGGAAAUCAAGCAACCUUAAAUAUCUCGGUUGUAUAGGAGCAUAUUCUAUUGCAGAAGACCUUCCUAUGAAGAUCAUGGAAUCAAAUACGGGACAUUGAACUAAUACUUGGACUUUGAUAUGAAUUUCUUUAACAAUUUUCUCUGCAGUGCAAGUUAUUAAACUAAAGCUACUCUAUUUUCAAAAUGUGUUCCAACAGAAAUCCUUCAUAACUCCUAGCAUGGUAUCUUAAUAAAGAAUAAAGUUCUUUUAAAAAUCUGCUCUAAGUAGAUUUUUCCCCUUUUUUAAAUUAAGGAUCCCAACAGUGGUAUUUUGAAAUAUUCUCUUGAAUUUGUGCAUUUAAAUUUUAUUGCAGUGGUAUAGAUGAAUGCCACUGAUGGUAUCCUUAAAUUUUAUUUCUGCUCACCAAGGUUAAUCAUGAUUGUCUAUAUCUUUUUUAUAGUAAUCACUUUUGAAUUGUGUUCAGAUAUGCAGUUUCAGGUGUAAUCAUCAGAGCUGGUUAGUCAGGCAUUCCAGAUAGUGGUUCUUUUCAGAACCUUUUUAAAAGGGUUGGUUAACUACCUCAGUAGCAGAGGAUUGAACUAUACCCUGUCUGUACUGUACAUAGAAAAUCUUUGUAGAUAAAAGCAAGGCUUGUUAAAUAUGAUAUGAAGGGUAAGAUUUUAAUAUACCAAAUGUAACAUUCUUAGUUGCCUUUAGUUUCAGAGGCUUGUAAGACUUCCUCAUGACCAUCAUAACAGGCCUUGCUUUUGUCGUAUUUUGUGGCUGAAAAAGCAGCCUUGCUUCUUCAGAUAUUGUAGUUAUUUGGAUGUAUAAUAGUUUAGCAAGAUGUUACUUUUGUAAGACAUCAGAUGUUCAAAAAAGUGCAUCCGAACUUGUACUAAAUACUGCAGUGUCCCUUUAUAAAAAGUCAGACUAAAACUGACAAUUGUACAGCGAAGCCUGACAUUUGGAUAUUUUGAAGUUUUUUCAUAAAUCAUAGAAAUUAGUAUAUGGCUGUAGUUUAGCUUUUUAGGUAAAAGGUAUGUUUCAUUAGUGCAUUUCUUACUGCUGAUCACAGUAAACAUGUGAAUCAGCUUUCCAUUUCUUAUGCAGGUCAUGAUAACUUGUAGAGUAGAGUACAAUCAUUUGUGCUAUGUUUUUAAUUUUCUAAAGCACCUUGACAGUGAGUGUUCAGUGGUGAAGCAUCCUCUAUUCACCCUCAAAAAUUUUUUUGCCAAGUCCUGAGUUGAUAGCUUAAAUUAAAAAGUGAAAAUUAUAGUUUCAUUAGGACUUGGUGUAAAGAAAUCCCCUCUCCCCUUCCCCAAAGGGAUACUGCAGUUAUAUCACAUACCCAAUAGGCACCACGAUGAAGAUCAGAGCUUAUACUUAAUUAAGGUUUUAUACACACCAGUUCCCCAGUAAAUGCAAAUUUAACAAGAAAAUUAGACAUGUCAUAUGUUCAAAAUGCUCAUGGCAAACAAUCAUUUUGCAUUCCUGCAAAUAAAAUUGUUUUAUACUGUAA